rnacentral:rRNA from 1 species
AUUGAACGCUGGCGGCAUGCUUUACACAUGCAAGUCGAACGGUAACAGGUUAAGCUGACGAGUGGCGAACGGGUGAGUAAUGCAUCGGAACGUGCCCGGUCGUGGGGGAUAACGCAGCGAAAGCUGCGCUAAUACCGCAUACGAUCUGAGGAUGAAAGCGGGGGACUGUAAGGCCUCGCGCGAUCGGAGCGGCCGAUGUCAGAUUGGGUAGUUGGGGGGGUAAAGGCUCACCAAGCCACCGAUCUGUAGCAGGUCUGGGAGGACGACCAGCCCGGCUGGGACGGGGACACGGCCGAGACUCCAACGGGAGGCAGCGGUGGGGAACUUUGGACAAUGGGCGAAAGCCUGAUCCAGCAAGGCCGCGUGGAGGGAGAAGGCCUUCGGGUUGUAAACUGCUUUUGUACGGACCGAAAAGGUGUCCUCUAAUACAGGAGGCCCAUGACGGUACCGUAAGAAUAAGCACCGGCUAACUACGUGCCAGCCGCCGCAGUAA